GCCCAGAUGGCGGAAUUGGUAGACGCGCAUGCUUCAGGUGCAUGUAUUCGCAAGGAUGUGGAGGUUCGAGUCCUCUUCUGGGCACCA
rnacentral:tRNA from 9 species